rnacentral:lncRNA from 1 species
UUGGAGUGUGUGAACUACCACAUGUUAACUAGUUGCAAAUGUAGUCUAGUUCAAUGGAGGGAAUGAUAAGUCUCUAGUCAAAUAAGAGUCCUAACUUUUAGGAUCGUUUGUUGAAUUGAUUUAAUCAAGUUUGUUGUUUCCUUAUUUCUAGAUAGAAGUGAGUUGUAGUUUGUUACUGUAAGUUCACUUUGUUCUCUAUUUAUUUUACUAUAUUUCAC